rnacentral:tRNA from 1 species
GCCGACGUGGUUAAAACAGUAUAAACGCCAUCUUGAGGUGGUGGUGGCGCAUGCUGUAUGAGUUCGAGUCGAAUCGUCGGCA